rnacentral:rRNA from 1 species
UACGAAGGGUGCGAGCGUUAUUCGGAAUGAUUGGGCGUAAAGGGUGCGCAGACGGCAUGUUAAGUCAACUGUUAAAUAUUCUGGCCUAACUGGAAUCCAGCAGUAGAAACUGGCGUGCUUGAGGGUGGAAGAGAGAAGUGGAAUUCUCGGAGUAGCGGUAAAAUGCGUAGAUCUCGAGAGGAACACCGAUGGCGAAGGCAGCUUCUUGGUCCAUACCUGACGUUCAUGCACGAAAGCGUGGGGAGCAAACAGG